rnacentral:sRNA from 1 species
UGCUGCUAAUUAACAUCUCUUUUUACAGGAUUCAUGAAUAAAAUUUUCCAUCCCAACAUUGAUGAAGCGUCAGGAACUGUGUGUCUAGAUGUAAUUAAUCAAACUUGGACAGCUCUCUAUGGUGAGUUUGGCCAUGGAAUAUUUUUUGGAGAUGUUGAGACAUUGCCUAAAAAAUGUUGUUUGGCUUUUCUUUUCUGGUUUAAGAUGUUUUGUUGGUAAUGGGAAGGGAUUUUUGAGGGACCGACUGGGAAAGUUUGAUCAGUGGAAAAAAUAUUUUCUCUUAAGUACAAAUAUAUCAGUUUAACUGUGGAAGUUUAAAAUGAUUUUUUGAGAUUCCAAACUUAAGGUAUAGUGAUACAUGUGCACACACAUGAAUACAUGUGCAAACAUUUUAUAUGUAUGUACUCGAAGCACAUAAUAUAUACAUAUUUUGGUUUUGGAAAAAACUAGAACUACUUAGGAAUGUCCCUCUGAAAUGAGAGAGAAAUGAUAUAGUAAGAGGUUUUAGGGGAUCAUCUUUUCAAAGGCCAAAACC